rnacentral:rRNA from 1 species
AGAGUUUGAUCCUGGCUCAGGACGAACGCUGGCGGUGCGCCUAAUGCAUGCAAGUCGAACGGGCGAAGGGGCUUCGGCCCCCUAGCUAGUGGCAGACGGCUGAGUAACACGUAAGUAACCUGUCCCGAAGAGGGGGAUAAUCUCGAGAAAUCGGGCCUAAUACCCCGUAAGUCUCUUCCCGACAUGUCGGGGGGAGAGAAAGGUUCUCGAUUCGUCGGGCGCCGCUUUGGGAGGGGCUUGCGGCCUAUCAGGUAGUUGGUGGGGUAAUGGCCUACCAAGCCUCAGACUGGUAACCGGUGUGAGAGCACGAUCGGUCAGAGGGGGACUGAGACACGGCCCCCACUCCUACGGGAGGCAGCAGCAGGGAAUCUUGCGCAAUGGGCGAAAGCCUGACGCAGCGACACCGCGUGAAGGAUGAAGGUCUUAGGAUUGUAAACUUCUUUUAUCAGGGAAGAGAACGGACGGUACCUGAUGAAUAAGGUUCGGCUAACUACGUGCCAGCAGCCGCGGUAAUACGUAGGAGGCGAGCGUUGUCCGGAUUUACUGGGCGUAAAGUGCGCGUAGGCGGUCUGUUAAGUCUCAUGUGAAAUCUCCCGGCUCAACUGGGAGGGGUCAUGGGAAACUGGCAGGCUAGAGGGCAGCAGAGGAAAGUGGAAUUCCCGGAGUAGUGGUGAAAUGCGUAGAUACCGGGAGGAACACCAGAGGCGAAGGCGGCUUUCUGGGCUAUUUCUGACGCUGAGGCGCGAAAGCGUGGGGAGCGAACCGGAUUAGAUACCCGGGUAGUCCACGCCCUAAACGAUGGAUACUAGAUAUGGGGGGUAUCGACCCCUCCCGCGUCGCAGCUAACGCGAUAAGUAUCCCGCCUGAGGAGUACGGCCGCAAGGCUAAAACUCAAAGGAAUUGACGGGGACCCGCACAAGCAGCGGAGCGUGUGGUUUAAUUCGAUGAUAAGCGAAGAACCUUACCAGGGCUUGACAUGAUUGUGGU